GAAAUUAGGACUCCAUAACUGAACCUCUAUCGUCACCAACACAGGCACCCGCCAAUACUAGGCUAAACGGGACCCAUACGAGGCACCCCAGUGGACGCAACUUAGUAUUCAACCACAGGCGCUCCCCCAAUAGGCACAACUCAGUACUUAAUGUUGCUUCUCUCUUGAUAGUCUUCAUCCCUUAGUUUCAUCCGUUCUCCUAUAAUAUAAUAUAAUAGAAAUAGAUAGGGACCAAGCGUAUACUAGUUGUUGAGUCAAGUCAAACUCUAUUUAGAAUCUAUUUUAGGAAUAGCCCCCUUAUAUAAGUAUUGAAUAGAGGCACCCUUUGUUGAACAAAUCUCUCCCCUCAUAGUCGUUUUUAUAAGUAAGAGUUGACCUCGCUCUCGCUAACCUGGUGCUAUCAAUUCUGCAAUUCUUACAGGCAAUGGUGAGGAAUAAAGGGAAGAAAGAUAAUCGUAUAAAGUAAGCAGGGACAGAAAGAGACUCGUCUCCAACAACAAGAACAAGAGCUGGGCUACCGGGGUUUACAUCGCCAAGUGUAGUUCUCUGAUCUUCAGAGCUCAAAUCAAUUCCAUUCCUGUGCCCCUAAGUGAUUGGUGUCCUGGGUAGAGCAACUGUAACUGUCUUACAUCCUCUGUGCUAAGGGAGUUGGGCCAUAGUACAUAAUUGCUAGCGCAUCUAGUAUCUAAUGAAUGGAAGGCCCUAAUACAUAAUUGGUAGCGCAUUACCCUUCCACUCUGAUAGGUCGGCAAGGGAAGAAAGAUCUGAUUGCACUCCGCCGCAACAAGGCAUCUAAGGCAACUCAAUGGAAUUUGUUUACUCGGUCUCAGGGAAGGGAAUAGAUUUACCAGACUCCACUCGGGAUUUCACUCUUACUUUAACUUGACCUGGACUACUACUUGGACUACUACUAUAAGGUGCUGUAAACCAUGGCUAUAAGUAUCUCGGGCUAAAGGAUGCAGUUAGAGCAGAGCCAGAUCCACCGGGUAUCAAGGACAGAGGCAGAGGAAAACAAAGGGUUAGUUAGGUCUACAACCACACCUGAAACAAGGGAAGAAACAAGGUAAGGAGAAGAGGUAAGAGAAGUCAGAGAGGAAUAAAGAUCAGAAGUCGGGAGUUGGGAGUUAAAGAAGCAAGUUCAGAAUUAGAGUAUUGUUGCCAUAGGGGUCUAUUAGCCGUAGGGGUAUAAUAGAUAUGGGUAACUACCAGAUACAGGUAUAUUAGAGCUAGCUUAUAUAGUAAUAUAGUAGGAAGAGUCCAUAGUGGGUUUCAGAGCCUAUGCUAAGGGAGUAGAAGAACCUAUGCGAGCCUAUGCUAAGGGAGUAGAAGAACCUAUGUGAGCCUAUGCUAAGAAGGGAGAAGAUUCCAUCGUGGGUGGAUUAGCUCCGUAUGCUACAUCAGAGAGCCUAUGCUAAGUGAGUUGUUGUAUAAGCUAUCUAUUUAGUUGGGGAGUAGUAGUAUAAGCUAUCUAUGGAGUGGAGUCUAUAUUGAGUUGGCCAAGUCACUUCUACAAAAGCCAAGAAUCGGACAGAACUCUUGGGGGGCGAGUCGAGGAAAGAGGAGUUCAUUACUAGGGAGUGAAAGAGAAAGAGUCAAAAGAGACAGAGUGAAGAGUUAGAGGAGAGAGAAGAUCUGAAGCUGUAAGGAAAGAAAGUGGUGAGCCAAGCCAGAGGUAUAACAGAGGUCAAGUGGAAAGUUAGAGCCAGAGCAAGUCAUUACCAAGUCCUGUUUUUUGGAGCUAUAAAACUGUGUUCGGGUGCUGAAAGCCUCGGCGAAAUUGACCCUGUAACCUCGGGAGAAGGGGUGCUCUCCUAAAUCUAUCUAUUUUAUUACGGAUUAGGAAAGUGAGAAGGGAGUCCAGCAGUUACGGUGUGUUCAAGAAGCGAGGGAAAGAACUUGACUUGAGACUUGAGUCCAGGGCAACAGCCUAACGCCAUAAAUACCACUCAUACGUUAGCUUCUAUUUUGUUGUUAGUUUGAUAUAGAAUAGAAUCUAUUGUAAAGACGGACGGACUAUAGGAAUUGACUGUGGAUCUCUGUGGAAGCAAUUGAAGAAAGGACGAUUGCAGACAGAUCCUACUCUCUUCUCUUUCCUUACUAACAAUCUAGCAAAUUGUCCAACUAAUGAAUUGACGCCUAGAAAGAUAGACCAGACCCGAGAGUUGUUUCCGUAGUUGGCCUAGAAAGAUAGACCAGACCUGAGAGUUGUUUCCGUAGUUGGCCUAGAAAGAAAAGAAUAUCAUGCCGCCUCAUUGUGGGCUUUAGCAAGAAUGGAAAUAGGAUUGAGAUGGAUGAGAGGGAAGUUUACGCGGUUCAACCAACCUGCGGCAUAGUAGUCUGUUUAAGCAGUUGUUGCGAGGUUACUGCACCCAAAGCAAAGAGACUCGUAUUCUGUUGCUUAGGCCUUUUCACUGCUAGUUCUGUGCUCAAACACUCUAUCUUGUAGAAAUAAGCACGUGAGGGGAUAUCGAGUGAUCUACAAAGGACGAUUUCUCCUCUGUCUUUUGUGCCUCAUGGGAAACCCAGAGUCCUUCGAAAAAGUGAUCAAAAGAGUGUUGGAUUGAAAAAGGCUAAAUCAACUAAAAAGCAAAUAAGCAUCUUCACUAUUAUAGGGCUUUCUCUUUCUUAAUGUUUACGUUGGGCUCUUUCUUAUUGGAGUAGUGAGCUUCUUCUUCACUCCUUGCCUCUCAAGAAAUCAUAUAUGAGCCUAGCACUUAAUAAUCCAGUGAGGAAAGGAAGAGACAGACCAAAGAGAAAGAAUCAUUUAGAACAUACAUCUUCGACAGGUUCUUACCCUCGCUGGCAGUUCCAUAAGAUAGGGUGACUUUCACAGAGCAUAGCUUCCAAACUACUCCUAACACGUAACUGACUUUAGCACAAUUCCCUUAAAACACUUGACUAAUGAAUAACCAACUGAAGCGAAGCGAUUGAGCACUUGAGCAUUCCCUUGGGCGACAGAAGAUGGCAAAAGAAGUGCAGGCGAAGGCUAAAGGAAGCUACCCCAUAUAUCAAACCUUUAUAAUGCCAUAUGCCAGUGAACUGGAAGAGAUAGUAUAGAAAGCCCUUCCAAACCAAUAGAUAGAAAGUGAGGAUCUUGAUUUCCUCCCGCCCCCGUUUGACUUGAGCACAACGGAACUGGCUGUUGAAUAGCUUGCUCUUGCACAGGAUCUUUAAAGAGCAAGAUUGAGCCCAAAGUAAACAUAAAGAAAGCCGAGACAGAAGUGCUGGCCUUUGACCGAGCGCAUUAGAUUAGUAUUAGCAAGAGAAGAGGUGUUCUUCCGCCUUUACCGAGCACAUUAUAGAAUGAAGUAAACAAACAGAGCAUCGCAGGCAGUUUUAGAGCUUCAGCGCCUAGCAGUUCUAUAAAGGGGCAGCACAUAAAAAGGAAUUCCUCUCAAGGAAGAAAAUGCUAUAGGUGUGAAGUGGGUUUACAAAAUCAAUCCAAAUGAAAAAGAUCACUUCCACUUUAGGAUAUGCGUUAGGCUGUCGGUCCAUGAAUGUGUAGAAAUGGAGUAAAACACUCAAGGAGUUCUUCAUUCCGGAUUCAGGGCAGAGGCACCGAUCGUUGCGCGUUAGCAAAGAGAAUGUUUCGAAGCGUUUGUUUACGCUGUAGGGAGUCAACCAAGAAUUCCAUAAAUAAGUAAACCUGCAAUAAAAGAAGAAAAGUCUGUCCUAGCCUCCCGGUACUAUAGAAUUUCUAAAAAGAGUUAGUGUUCCAGCGAGGCAACUCGGGCUCGAAAGAAAGCAAUGAUGCUCGAAAGGUUCUAUCUAAUGUAACAGCUUACACAGUCCUCGAUCCUAUAAAGAAAGUAUGCUUUAGAAGUAUCAAUGAAGCCAAGAAGGGGAGGAUUUCCGCCGGGUUAAAGGUCUUUGACUCUAUUCUAUAAUAGGAGAGCACUAAAUGAGAGAAAUGAUUCAAGCAAGCGAUAAAGGGAUAAUAUCAAAUAGAGAAAAACUAGGAACAAAGAAGCAAAGAAUAAGAUAAAGUAUUAGGAAUAGGAACAGCGCAUAUAAGAGCGUAACGACUCUUUCCAAAGGUUAUCCCUUCAUUACUUUAGCAGGAUCAGAAACAUCUCGGGAGUCAAUACCCCUCCUAUUCUUGGGGACAGAGACAGGGAAAAAUAGGUCUCCCAUUAAGGUUAGAAGGGGGAAAGAAAGAACCGCUCAGAGGAGAUAGGAUAGAGAUAGCCUUUUAUGAAAAAGAAAGGAAAGGGGCCCUUUUCCUUAUGAUCGGGGAGGAACUAGCUCCCAAAAACAGUACUUGGUAAUAACUGGUGCAGCUGACAAUUCACUUAAGUAUUGGACUGAAACCUUUCUCCACACUGGUUUAGGCGGCGCAGGCUAUAGGGUAGCAGGCUCGUGUGAUCGGCUUCCGGGUGUUGGCAAAGCAGAUAAUCGUAAAGCAACUCGUCUGGAAGGGACCUACCACUCUAUGUAUGUUGAGGGAACAGCCUUACUUUUCACUCCCUUUUGUUCAAGCGUAAGACGAAUCUGCUAGUACAUGGGAUCAGCUACUUAGAAUACGAUAACGAUACCGCAAAAGGUGCAAAGCGGCUAGGUCUUGGACCUUCUAGCAAAGAAAGCAGGGGCGCAUCCCGGGUGUAAGCUGUUAAAGUAGUCCUAUAAUAUCCUGUAUGAAAACCAUACAAUUACUAUCAAUGACUUUUUGACUAUUCUAUGCCCGCAAUGAAAGCCUUUAGCCGGCCUUCAAAGUAAAGCUAUAAUGAGUUCUUUCCAAGGUCUCCCAUUCCUUUCAAUCGGGGAUACUUUCUUUUGGAUCGGGCUUGUUGUCGGUCUGGGUGGUAUUAACUAAUGCAUUUCUGAAACCUAUCCUCCUAUUCGAUAGAAAGACUCAAUUUCAUAAGAGAAAAGAAAGCAACGAAGAAAAUGACUUUGUGCUCUCGCUCAGAGCGGAAUGAAAGUGUUCUCUUUUAUUGUAUGAAGACUUAUUUUGAUCAAGUGUUGUGAAGUGAGAAAGAUGUAUAGGUAAGCAGUCUUGACUUAACUCGACCCAGACCAAACAAUCCCGCCUCUCUCAGUUGGUUAGAUAGUGUCAAUAUCUUUUCUAUCUCAAUUGAAAGCCUCCAUUCAUUGCUAUCCGGAAGGAAAAAGGCAUCAGAAUCAGAAUAAGGGACUGUCUUCGAUCCCGUUCACUAGCUUCGUGAGUAGAAAACAAAGGAAGGUAGUUCAUGCGGGCUUUUGACCAGUGCAUCAAGUAUCACGAUCAGGAUCCGCUAACUCAGCAACUAAGAAGAAGCGAGGGCGAGCUUAGGCUGGCUCACUUAUCAAAUGCCGGUUCGACUCGGGUCGUACUAGGAAUCCGGUAGUAAAGCAGGAUGGAAAGCAAAGCGGGUAUCAGUGAUUGGAAAGGCAAGGGUAUAGCAGGGAAAGCCCACAAUUGAACAUAUCCUUAUGAGGUCCGUUUCCUUAUGGUAGGACUCAGAGUCAACUUACAAUAACAGUCUAUUGGCGGUUAAACAAACUCUAUCCCAUAGGGACCGGGCCUACAAUUUGGCCUUUGCGCUCUCCUCGUGUACUAACAGAUGGAUCAAAGGUAGAGUAGUCUAUUCCUAUUUGACAUACAUGGUAGUUGGACCUACUUUCUGAGUGUAUGAAAGAAAAGCGAAACUCACAUGACUAUCUCCGGUGGCCCCGACCAGAAAACUUUCCCGCUUAACCAGUUAACUUAGGACCUAUUUGAUGAUAAAGCGGCUGCAGGAAUUGCUUACAUAAAUUCACUACUUCCUCGUCGAGCUCUAUUUCAACCCAACUCUAUGUCGUUUACAGCUCUAUUUCAACCCAACUCUAUGUCGUUUACAGCUCUAUUUCAACCCAACUCUAUUUCAAUCCGAUCCGGAGAGCAUUUCGAAUGCAGUUAACUCAAAGGGAAAUGGAAAUGACUUACUCGGUUCAAGAUAGGAUUUGCUUAGCUUUCUUUUUGACCACUACUCUUACCUUAGCACCAAGUCAAGACCAGACAUAAUAAAUAUCGGAAAGAUAGCACCAAAAGAGAAAGAAAGUCACUUGUAAAUCAUAGCGGAAUCCAAAGAGAGAUAGGAAUGAAAAGCCCUAGCAUGCUUACGCUCUCUUAUUCUACUAUCGGUUUCUCGAAUCGGAGCGGGCAAGAGCAAGAGGAAGAGAAACACUAUUAUUCGUACUCGCUCCUCUGUUCGUGAGCAAUCUUCCCAUGGCUCACAUCUCUCUCUACUGCUGAUAAAGAUAGAAAGGAAGACUAGUCCGGCAACAAUUCCUUGAGAGUCUUAGGGCCGAUUCUACUACUAUAAGAAAGAGACCAGCCUUUUCUACUUUAGGUCUAAGGCUAGCAAGCGGUCUGACUCGCUCUAGCUAUAGCAACUCUAGGAAGCAGGGUCUAGCUCCAGUCCCUCGACUCUAGAUAUGGUAACUCGAUAGUGGAGUAAGGACAUUCAUGAAGGUCUAGUCCUCGUUCGUGAGCCAUACCCAUUGAUCUCUCACUACCAAUAGUUCUCUCACUCUUUCUAGUAAGAUCAAGUUAUGAUAAAGAAAGCAAUCAGAAAAGCAUGUCCACUUAUUUGAGAAAUAUUCACUCUUUCAUAAGUAAAUCGGACCUUAUUUAUGUUUUUAUAGUUCAACCCGAGUAGUAAAAAACGAGAGUGAUAGUACGCCCGUAUAGCUAUAGCUCACUGAAGAAUAACACUUGAUGGAGUAAGCUGUUGAAUAAUCACCAGCCCAACCACCUGCAAUAGUAGCAGAUUACCCACCAGGCGAUUCAUAUAAAUAUGCAGUCUCUUCCCGCAGGUGCAAGUGAAGGGUUAACUAUUACUGUGACAGAAAGACCGCUACCGGAGCUACCUCUUCAACUUUACGCUCUCAUGGCUCACUCCUACACCGUUCGAGAGCUAUGUGUAUUGCUCUCUCACUCCUUAUAGACAAGGAAAAGACAGAUAAGAUAAGGAUCAAAAUAAUAGAGAUAAGAUAAGGAUCCAAAUAAUAGAAGCGUUUCCAUCCUAAUAGAAGCGUGUUCCUAAACGACUAUAUCUGUGUAUUCCCUAGCUAGAGUGGAAUUGAGACUCCUACUAUAAGACUAGAAACAGGAAAUCGACUAGCACCAUAUCUUAAUCUUAUUCAAAUGCACUUUUACAUUGGAAUUGGUUUUUCAAAUGCACUUUUACAUUGGAAUGGGUUUCCGCUUCUCUAUUCAAUAAUAACACAUUCUAUUGGUUUCCGCUUCUCUAUUCAAUAGUAACACAUUCUGAUUAAAGUAUACUAUUAUUUCUCAUAGGUUCUUAUUCCAAUGUUUCCCUACAUUGAUUUGAGUUUCUGCUUCUCUAUUCUUAUUUGGUGUAUACCAUUAUUCUGGAUAGGUUCUCUCCUACUCCUGAGCAAUGUCCCUCUCACUCACUCUACCAGACUACAUUACGAGGACGAAAGGACAGCGUACAGGAACCGACCAUUAACCGUUGGUGGUAAAGGUCAGGGGUUAAUGAUCAAGGCGAGUCUCCGUCAGCGGGAAUCGGGGUAACCAGUUUGCCUUCGACCGUAAACCAAAUGGAUCAGCAUUCAUCUUGGGGUUUCGCAAUGCCAUGAAUACGGCAGAACCUACCUUAUAGUUGACUUCUCGCAGGGGCCAAGGGCCAAGCAACGGCGCGCCAAGCUACUACUACAAACGCAUAGCAAGUACAGAACUCAUAUAAUAUAUAUUAAUUGGCUGUUAGCAAGUCCUGUCUUCGAGGCGGCAGCGAGCUAAAAACUGCGCGGCAGCAACAACAUAGAUACAUUAUAACUCGUUAUAACCAAAUCCUGUUUAAACCCAUAUUGUGUAAGUAGAGCGUCAAGAUGAGUUGUUUUCUGGUUUAUUUGUUCUUUCUAAUUUAUUGUUCGAUAGUUUUCUCCCAUCAUUCUUAUCACUUAGGGCUUACUAGCUACUAACUUAGGGCUUACUACUAACUACUAACUAGCUUCGGGCAAUCGGUGGUCUAGUAACUGACUUCAACAACUACCCGCCAAGCCAACAAGCACUUAAGGAUUGAAAACGGAUUCUUCCAAGAUUAGAGUUUCGCAAGUCAUUCCACAAUCCCAGCAGCUUCUUAGUGGAAUGGGAAAUGCCCUAUGAAGAGAGAAAACCCGCUUUCAAUGGCUUUUUUGCCUAUAAACACAAGGCAGUUAGAGUUUAGUCUACCGGUGAGGAAGCAAGAGCGAGCAAGCAACGAAGUGGAUCUCUUAGUAUUAGAUUCCGUUUGUGUUGUUGGUUCAUCAAGGAGAGUUCGGGCUACAAUCUCUUAUGCUUUAACUCUCAACUAAGAAUUCCAAUCCAAUAGUCAGAAUGGGUUCGGGUACAUCCUUUAGCGCAUUCUAUUAUUACUUGAAACCGGAGAAACUCAAUGACUUUCUUUCCUUCUCGAUUCUAAGCUUGCAGCUGACCUUACUUUAGCCUUAUAACCUACACAGCCUAAGUAUAGUCUACUUUACUCGAACAGAAACGAUACUGCAUAUCAGGACCGAUGCACUUCCCUUUAUAGUUCUUUUGCCGAACUCACUCUUGUUUUAGUUUCAACUGAACUUCCUCUUGCUCCUUUAGUUUUGAAACGGAGUCUGGCCUGGGUCUGGAAGCAAAGCUGUUUGUUUACGUUCCUCUCUGGUUGUUGACUCUUUACUCUAUCUAAGCAAGAGAGAUAUUCCAAAUUCAAAUGAAACAAGGCGAGUUGGGUCGACGAGAUGGGGAUAUUAAUAUUAAGAAUCUGCUGGAGCCGGAUCAGUAGAAAGUUUUGUUAUAGAAGUAUAGAAGGUUUUACAUAAGAAGUGGAAGCUCUGGUUGGUAACUCCACUUAUUGUUUUGCUGUAGCUCAAGCAAAGUACUCUCGUGAAAUACCAGUUCCAAUUCUAGGAUCCGUAGAGGCUAAAGCGGAUGCUGGAUCUGGCAAGGAAGCGCGGUUAAGUGUCGAAAAGAGAGGUGAAGUUCUUUUAAAUGAUGUUUCUUUUCUUGGUAAAGUAGAAAGUCUAGGUGUUGACGAUGAAACCAGUUUACAAGUCUAGGUGUUGGCGAUUGGAAUGAAUCCACCAGUUUCAAGGAAGCAAGUGGGAGGUCGGUCGGGCCUAUAUAAUAAGUCUUGGGGUUGACAGCGAUACAGCUUUUCAUUCUGAUUCUGAUGCUUACCAUUGAUUAUAGUGGUAUAAACAAACAAAUACUUUUUCCAACUUCGAUUCUAUUAUCGAUUCAAUGUCGCACUAAAAGAUAUUUACUUCGGAUCAACUGCUUUGCUUCAGCAAGGUUGUCGUCAAGUGGAAGUUCAGAAUUAUAUUCAAUAUAUAGAGCACCUGCACCCAAGUAUAGAAAUAAGUAAAUACAUUGCUUCUGCAUUCAUCUGUAGUUUUCAUCAUGAAAUCCAGCUCUAGCUGCGCCCUUGGUAUGACUUUAUUUCUUCUCUCGAGCACAUGGAUAGACUCAUGCAAAGAUACACACUGCUCUGCUUCCCUUGAUACACACUGCUCUGCUUCCCUUUACUCUCAACUUGAAGAAUGGAAUGCAAUUAUUUCAUAAUAGAGUUUACUUACUGCCACAAAUCUUGCAUACUAAUACAAAGAAUAUAGCUGGAACUAUAGGAAACUACUUUGAGCCGGCUGCUGACUUGAUAUUCUUCCUUGAAAACCGCUUACGCUUACUUUUGUCUUAUGAAGCUAUGAGGCGCGUUGGGACCGGGCAAUAAUAUGGGUUCGGAUGCUCACCAGAGUUUUCAUUAGUGGGAACUACUUGGGGCUGGAAACCAAUAUUUGCUCAUUGCUGGAAACCUUAUUGUCGGCUUGAAAACGCUAUCCUCUAUACUCGGGUUAAGGUUAAGCAUAAAUACCCAAUUAUCGUCAUUUAAGUAAUAUGGUAAACUCAUUGAAUGGAAAUUGACCCAUCAAAUGCCACUAUCGGAUGUUCUACUACAUUUGAGCCUAACAUAUUACUUGUUCAAAGCGACUCUAGGGGCAGGACAACCAACCUCUGGCGCAGCGGAACAAACCACUGCUUCUGCGCAAGUACUUAAAGAAUCCCUUAAUCCGAAUAGGGAAUUCCAUUCCAGUUUUUGUAGAGUUGAGAGAAUGCUUGUCAACGAAAAUGCACCCGUUAUAGAAAAUGGUAACCACUGAGAUGGGUAGCGAGUUCCCCUUAGCCUAGCCUAAGUUCAGUUGUCAACGAGAUAAAGAUCAUAAGUUAUAGUAGAUGAAAAGUCAGGAAAGGAAGUAUAAUACCCAGAUGAAGCAGAAGCAAGUAGAGAGUCAUAAGCGGUACCCGAAGUAGGAACAAGAUCUGAAGCUGUCUCAUCAAUCUGAAGUUGUCUCAUCAGGAAGGGAAAGAAAGAAAGCAGUGUCAGUUUGAUAGCUAGGAUAUUGUUUGAGAGCUGGGAUAGUAAGGCUUGGCGCUACCGGUGAGUCAGAUUGACUACCCAACAUAGUUCAUUAUGAUUUGUAUGGGGUUCAUUCCAUAUUACCAUUAGGGAUCCCAUGUUUAUUGUAUAAGUAUGAGAAAUAGUCAGUCGUUUUAUUCCUUAUCGGGUGUUCUAGUCCGUUUGCCAGUAGCUCUAUUCUCUUAUUAAUAUUGGUUCGAGCCUUGUUAUCGGUAGUACCGGUUAAUAGCAAAUAUCAUAUGAAAACACGCAUAGCAAUAUAAGUCAAAAGAAUCAUUAAUGGAAAGUCAAAUCAUAAUCAAUAUUAGAUGAGGGAAUGCUAGUUUAGAAUCAAGUUUGAAACAAGCAAGUAAGGAAUGUCGAACUGAGAGAAAUUGGUGCCCGGGCUAACCUCUACUGUGAAAGAACGAUUGGGGUAUGCUUCCUUCAUUGCCUUACCUUACAUUCGGGCUAUCAUCUAAAGUGGGUUAGGCUAGCAACUAGUCGUCAUAAAAGAGAGAUCUGAGUUUUGCUUUAGCAAGAGGCCUAUUGUUCGCAGACACCCACUUCUAUUAGCUGACAUAAAAGACAAAGAUUCUUCGUUCGUUGUUUAUGAUAAAGAGUUCGAGAUCAGAGAGGGCAGACCGGCCACAACGUCUGGCAUAGUAUGAAAUGGUGCCCUUGGCUCAGUCCUGCCAGCAGUAGUUCUUUCGAUGCUAUUACUAUUGGGCAGAGCAGAGCGCUAACCGAGUCUUAGUCUUUUGCCUCUGUGCUAUUAUAGUAUAGUGAGCUCGCUUACUCUGAUCGUACUGCGUGGACGUCUAAUAAGAAAUAGGCUCAAGCACCAGAUCAUCAUCAGCAAGAAAACGGCAUUGCUGCUACUACUUACAUUACAACCAAAAUCUUUGGACAAAGAAAGACAGGCGUACCGGCACUCACCUAUAGCUCCAAUCACUUACAACAUGCACUCACCUAUAGCUACAAUCACUUACAACAUAAAGAGCUUGGGGGGUUGGUUGGGCAUUAGAAAGGAUUCCACUAUUAUCAUUACCAGAAAGAGACAAGGGGCUUACCAACAGACCUGCUACCUUCCAUCGGACCCAUUUUAUGGAAAGGCCAUGACUAUUACUAGAAAGAAAGGAAGUCAAAUUGAGCUGAGUCCACCUGGCAAAGCAAGCUUCAAAAGUCAUGUUUGAAGGCUAGAUAGCGGCCUUAGGAACGGAUUGUGGUACCGCUUUCACUGCUUAGACCCUAGUUUUGCCUACAACUCCUUCCCUUAGAAGGGCCGUCAAAAGCCGGUGCUUUGGUUAACGGCUUACGAAGUUACUAAUCGUAGCCAACUUAUUCAAGAUAUAUUGUAUGCUUUCUCUUAUUAGAAAGAAAGAUAUUAGAAAGAAAGAAUUGAUUCAAGAUAUAUUGUAUGCUUUCUCUUAUUAGAAAUAAUAUAUAUGUGAAAAGAAAUAAUAUAUACGUGAAAGAAAAAGGGAACUAACUCGACUAGAAAGGCCUUCAAUCAAGCCAAAGGAGAUAGACCAUAAGCCUGGGAAAGGGGCUAGGCUAUUCCAGGGAAAGGGGCUAGGCUAUUCAAGCGAGGUCUUCCACUAUAUGGUAUAAAUUCAUAAGAUAGGGUGUGGGAUAGAGUGUGAACCUCAUGAAGCGUCUGACCUAACGAGUGCUCACAUUAUGGGUAGGAAAAGAAAGCAAAGGAAGAAUCCAUCCCACUAUUUUCUUAUUCAAAGGGGAUGGAAAAUGCAAAGCACUAGAACAAAGGAAAGGGGGAAGUUUAAGUCACGAGAGCGAGACUUCGCGGCUGUAGUGGGCAGGAUAGGCCAGCAGGCAGGAGCUAUUUUCAAGUGGCUAAGCCAUCAGUUCUGGUAUUACUUGAAGCGGAAACUUGUCUUAAAUGUAUCGAAAACCUAUAAAAUCCUAUGCAUGGAACGCAACUAACACUUUCACUCAAGCCCUAGCACUGAACCUCCAAAAAGGUAACUGGAUUCAUGGGAACUUGCUAGCCUCUAUUCUUAGGACCAUUCCAUUGACCUAGUAUCAUUCAUAAUCUCAAACGGCUAGGGCACUCCUCUUUCACGUACCAGAUGCUUUCAACAUUCCAUUCUUCCUUGUUUGAUUGCUUUAUUUACUCAUUUACAGUUUCAAUUCCGUCUUUGAUUCGGCAUCGAAGUAAGCGUAGAGGAGAUUGGUCAAGCCCACGCAUCUGUUAAAGUGCUUGAGUGGUCCCGUCUCCGGGCUAUCCAAAAGGGAGACUCUUACCCUAGCUCUGAAGGUCUUCGCCCAUUGCACCGGUCUUAACAUCAAGAUCUGAACAUAGCUUAUGUCGAGCUUACCUACCUUUCCGAAGAGAUUCGAUUAGAUUGUUGCCAAAGCCAUUGCUUGAAGGCCAUGAAGUUGUGGAUCAAUCUGCCACCUUGAGCUAAAAGCGCGUAAGUCAAUAGUUGUUCGCACCAAGCAACUACCCUUCCACUACUACCUUUGACUCUUUAAACAAACCUUCCCGAACGGAAACUCAACCUUUCAUUCCCCCCGCAAGCUUCAACUCAAAAGUCAGAAAUCAACUACUAGGCCCUAACGACAAAAACUCGUGUUGACAGGAAUGCUACUAAGAAGAAAUAAGAACUAUGAAUUCCAAUAAUACAAAUCAUAAUUGAAACACCUAUAAGAAGAGCCCUCUCUCUCAGACAACCUAGUUCUUUUGUCUUCUUGCCAACACCUAGGGUUCUUAAAAGUAUUCAUUGCGGAAUGGAACUCUAACCUAGGAAUCAGGAGUAUAAAACACUAACUGGAUAUAUGGAAUUCACCCUAUGCAAAGUAGGAAUAGAGCUAGUGGCUACAAAGAACAAACUAGAAACGCCCGGCGACCUUAGAGGCUAUAACCACUGAUCCCGAUCCUUGCUUUGUAGCAGCUUCAAACUACCCUUUCAAACUGACACUACUAACUUGGAUUCUUGCUUAUUAGAUUGGGCCUGCCAAUCCCGGUUGUGCGUUAGGGAGCGGGGGGCUAGGUGAGUGACCCUCUUUCUUCUAGAAUACAAAGCAAAUUCAGAAGUUUCCUAUACUGAUCUCAGAGACAACACUAGAACUGGGCCAUUCUCUUUAUUCUUCUCAGGCAUCUGAUCUUUCAACUCCAAAGUUCGAAUUGAGGAAUCUCAUUUCAUAAUUGAGUGUUGAUAGCCCGGGCCAAGUCACUACAAACGGCCAAGCGUCAAGCAACUCUAAGACAACUGCAAGAAUAGAAAACCACUCCGGUAGCGAGUUAAGCCCUUUACUGACUUUGAUUCUCCGUAUUGUUAUUUGAACACUUUGACUGCCGCAUCCAGAUCUUUGUUUCAGAGUAGUAUAACCCUAGUGUGAAGCAAUGAUCAAAUUCCAUUUCAAUCCGCCCUAAGUGAACCACAGAUCGAAUGUAUUCUGUGGAAGUAGGGUAUAAAAUAAUGGUUUGUCGAGUUUACCUGCGGUUGGAUGCGGGUAUGGUUUCAGGCGCUCGGUGCUGCAUUAGCGGUGGAGGUGCCAUCGUAGCCACAAUCUCGAACAUCGACCUACUUUUUGGCGUCAGUCGGAAACCAUAUGGGUUAGUUAGGUAGGGGUGAACAAAGAACGAGAUGCUCCGUUCGACGGUUAGCAACGUUUGGAUACUCUGUUAGUCCUUUGAUUGAGACCGAGCCCUCACUUGCCGAGCGAACCUAGUUUCAUUAUCCUUCGUUCGCAACCCCGAUUCGACAACAAUCGUCUGGCCACUGGGAAAGCUCAUACCAAGUAUCAGGUACCAAGUAAGUGUUCGUUGCCAUACUCUGAUGCUAGUGUAUCUGACACAGUCGAACUCCCUAAACAAUAAAGAAAAGGACCCUAUAGGGAAAGAUCCCACUGGACCAACCCCAAUGUCCUAAGUAGUUAAUGGCUUAACCGAGUAUGUAGUGCUUUGCUUGCAUGGCUUAACCAAGUAUACGAGUUAGUUGGGGUGCCAAAGUAAAGUUGUCGACGAGCCAGAUUACCAAUAGACUAAUAGCAUCAAAUACGUUUCUUAUUAUAUAUAAAUAGCAUCAAAUCCGUUUCUUAUUAUAUAGAAAGAGAAUAUUGAGUAUAGUAGUAGCUUGGAGAAGAGAAUAUUGAGUAUAGUAGUAGCUUGGCUCUAAGCUCCCUUUAGCUAGUGCCACUUAUAUAUCUGCCCUCUCCUCUCUUCCAUUUCUCCUUUUUUCUUCUCUACGUUACUAUUUCUAUUUCAACAGGAUUGCCGGUUUUGAUCAAUUCCUCGAUAACGUCAAACACUCGUUUAAGCCUGUGCGGGCGGGUUGGUUUUUACUACUUCAUAAAAGCAAUAAGUCCUCCUCAGUAUAUUCCUCAACAGUCGCCCCUACUAAAUAAGUACUCUGCAUGAGAUUCCUUAGCCCGCUCGAGCCUUAUCGCUCUGCGUCCAAAUCCAUACCUACCUCACUAUACUGUAUGAAUUCUCAGCGGUAAAUGCAUACCACUACCACGCCAGCUCUACAUCUGCUCGUCCAACCACACUUAAUCCAUGCGCACCCUCUUUGCGGACCCGUGGAAAUCAAGGACUAGAACACUCACCGAGACUCCAUUGAUUUUCAAGAUCACAUCUUCGUUCACUUUGUGCGCUGCUUCAUCCGGUGUUUCAUCAUCACCGCUUUUUUCUAUCCACUCAGCUGGGUCCCAUCUUUCCUCCUCCUGAGUGUACGAGAUACUAAUGGAAUUAGACACUCGGAACCCGCUUAUAUACGCUUGCAGAGGCCAUGCCGCAGAAUAGGCUACCUCACAACUCUUCAGCUCUUUUAACAGGGUCUCCUCGCAAUCUAUUAAAGCUUGAACCCCCUUUUCGGGCCGCUCGCAUGCUUUUUGCUGCAGCACCCCUAUUGUGAAAGGCCUACACUGCCUGUCAAAGGUAUCGAACUUUAGCCAACACACCUGCUCAUCCCUCCCCCGCUCAGCAAUAUUAUCUCGCAGCGGUUUAAGAGGCACGAAAACAAACUCCAUGAGCGAGAAGACCUCGUCCUUGUUAACCAAGUCCCUUCCAUCCAAAGUGCUCUUUGUGAGUACCUGCUCCGUUUGCAUCUGGGCGUGGAAGUGGAUAUACUCCUCAUAACUAUGCCUUGAUUUACUCAUUUUUUCCACGAGCAAAACCUUCAUGCGCUGUUUUCUCUGCGUUGUUAGUAUCUCCCUUUCACCUGGCUGAAGCAUAUCCUCUAUUUUCCCCAUUCUUUCUAUGAGUUCAUUGUCUCCUUUUGCUACCCCCAGCUUCUCCUUUUUUGAGCACAGAAGUAUUUCCGCAUGCUCCUCGUUAUACUGCAGUGGUAUAAACCUUGCAUUAUUCCAUAGGACCUGCUUUUUCUUAAGUCUACUGUGGAUACAUCCCCAUAGGGUAGCUAUUAUCCUCUCCUUUCUUAGGUUUUUCAUACUGUUUUUGAACUUGAACAUCGCAUAAAUCUUUCAUGGAAGGCCCCCUUUUCCCUAAUGCUUCUAACAGGAUAGUUAGUUAUAGUAAUUACCGGCACAUCACAUUUCUUUUCUUGUUGGGCACUAGUUCAGUCUUGGAGAUACCUUUUUGGUAUUCUUACUAAAAACUGGAAUUAUUGGAUUCCCUAGGGAUGCGCUACAUAUCGUACCUAUAUUAUACUAAUACAGAGUUUUCUUCCCUAAGACAAGAGCUCGAGAGACUAAAACUCACUCCUAUAAGAAAGAAAGUCAGCAGCGGGAGACUCGUCCAAGUAGCUACUAGAUGAAACCGGGGCAUGGGCGGGUCAACUCUCUAACUACAGGAUGCAAGGAAGGAAUGCUACAAGUAGUACAAUAAUGACUAGUCAAGUAGGAAAGCCAGUAUUUGAAGCCCAUGAACCUGGCAUCAGACUCAUAGCAGUAUAUCAGUAAGAAGAAGGUUAAGGAAAACAAGAAUGGCUACCUAUGCAAGUGAUGAAGAAUUGCACUCAUAUUAGCCUAAGCCUUACUAUCUACCACACAUGGCGAGCCUAACUCACCAGUAGCCCAAGAAGCCCUACUAGAGAUAGGAUACAUCGAAUAGUUAACUAAUGAUGAAAUACAAAAGACAGAAUUGUCCUAAGGGGCAAAAAAGAACUCACUCUCUAUGGGAGCACCCACUAUACCUUUCAUUCAGAUUUGUCUUACCCAACAACUCUACCUUGAACUAGAGCACCAACCUCCACAUUUCUAGGCUAGGCGUAACACCUAGGUUAUACUACGAUAAUUCCAUUCAAAAGCAUAGGUUAUGCCGCCAGAACUCAAUUCAAUAGUAAGAGAACGAAACCACUAUACUCAAAGGGCUUAUACCACUAACUGGCAAUUCCACUACUCACUGGGAAAUCCACUGCUGUUACCCAGCUCUAAAGUCAGAAAUACAUUCUAUAGUUGUAACGCACCUAAACACACUCACUCUUAACUGGGGGUCUGCCACUCCUUCCUGAAAGUAUUGUUUGUUAGUGAAAGUAUCUCUCGUUAGUGUAUCUCACUAAGACAUUGCCUAUUGGCGACUCAACAGUCAUAGCCCAGCCCCGGAGCCCAAGCCCUAUUAUAUACCUAAAAUGCCGAGCCUUACUUCAUAGCGGCCAAGCCCACACAGAGAGUUCUUUAACUACUCACUUUGGAUUCUGACUUCACUUGUUUUGAAACUCGCACUCGUUGCUUUCAUUCGCCGUAUCAUGCCUCGCAUCCCCACUAGAAAUUCCCUCACUAUGAAACCUUCCCCCUUCCUUAUACUUUGUUUAAAAACGGCUACUGACUUCUGGAAUUAUGGAUUGACCCUAUAAGCAUUAGACUAAAUGCUUGCCAGCACGGAUAACCUCACUCUUGGACUAGACUCUUGUCUUAAAGGCUUAGGUCGACGCUAAGGGUACCCCGGCAUUGGAUACGAGCUAUAAGGCUAAGAUGUUAACAUACACAUUAAUACUCACAAUAGUGGUGAUAAUAAUCAAACAUUAGGAGUGAUAAUAAUCCAAAUCAGAAUAAAGAAUACAAGACCUAAGCUAGAAAACCGGCCUAUAUCCAUGGAAUCUAAGUCUCCUUAUCUUUGUUUUCAUUCUCUCUUUGAUCCUGGAAAUACCUUAUUAUUCUUUUGACUUAUAUUAUUUAUUGAUAUUUAAUAUACAGUUACUUAUCUAUCUACUCUCUUAUAUUAUAUUCAUAGUAAUAGUCAUAGCCCUACCUACUAUUUAUUUGUAUCAAUAGAAGAACCACCCUACCUACUAUAUAUUAUUGCUUGUAUUAAUCGAAAUCGAAAAACGAACCCACUCUCUUUCAACAGUGCCAAUGCCAAUUCGAUUCUUAAGAUAGUUUACGCAGUGCCAAUUUGAUUCUUGCUUUUGACAGCGCCAAUGCAAUUAUGACUUUUUACAGUGCCAAUACUAUUUUGAGUUGAGGUAGCGGGAUGCCUAGCUUACUUGCGCACAUACCCACGUGCCCACCGACGUACCUCUCCACCACAUACCCAACAUACGCGAGAAACCUGCUGCAGCUAGUCACUCAAAGGAAUCACCUAUUCUUAAGUGUCCUGGAGGGCCAGUCAGUCUUGUUCACCCAAAUUUAUGGGAGAGCGCCCCAGGAAUCAGUCUUAGGGAGAAACAACGUACUACGGGGAUCAUUCACCUCACCCAUGCUUAGAAGGUAGUAUCGUCCCCGGUCAACGAAGGUAGUACAUCGUAAAUUCAUUGAAUGGCCGGGCAACUGAUCGAAGACAAGAAAGACGUGUGAUCAACUGGUCGAGGGUUCGGUCAACAAUAAAGAAAAGGAGUUAGUUCACUCAUUCUUAACGUAGGGUAACUCUGUCUUCGGACGAAACACAUCUAUUGUCAUCGCUCUCAUUCAUAGAAGGUGUCUACCACCGCAACCACGGAAGAAACAAACACACAUGCCCUAGCGCUACCAUGCGACCGUAAAGCAUAACCACAAGAAUGAGUCCAUGGUCGGGCUGAUAGGUGCUCCUAAAGGACUAUGUGUUGUUUCACUCGAAGAAUGAGUUCGUGGUCGUGAUGCGCGAAAAGAAACUAAAGGCCAACUGAAAGAAUCAAAGAAUAAUUGACAUAUCUAUUUCAGGCUGAGCUAUAUUACUUUCGGACUAAGUGAACCUCUCUGCCGGCCCGAAAACCUUAAUAGAUUCCUUUUCUUACAGCAACCAAUCAUAGGUUAGGUCCCGCUACGCUAAUCUAAAGCAAGGCAUCCAUCUUGUAACACUGGACGAAACCAUUGCCAAGAUUUCUCUCUUAUUUACAAGCCCUACCUUACUAACCGCUGACACUCGUUAUGUUAGCCGCAUAAGUAAGUAGAGCGUAUGCUAGGAAAGAAGAGAAUUAGGCAAAGGAAGUAUUGCUGCUGCUUCCCGAUUGAUACCAGUUUGCGUCUUCCUCAUAUAUAAUAUAUAGAUGUCAACUUUCGAGUCACUUUCCCUUCUUGACCUAAACAAAAGCGCUUGUCUUACUUAUCUAACUUAUGAGUGAGCAGAGUAGUGUGUGAGCAGCGCGAAAGGUUGCUUGCUCCCAACAAGUUGCAUAGCUCCACCCUAUAUAGAUGUGAUCGUUUGAGUCUUUAUCGAUGAAGCCUUUCGAAGCACUUUCUAAACGCUAGCUAUAUGCUUUUGCCGAGGUUAUGAAAGAAUGGGGAUCUCUCCAAAUCCUGUUCAAUUAGACUCAAACAUUGGGGUAAGAAGAGAUGAGAGAAACUAUUGCGUGUCAGCUUUGGGAUUACUCUCUUCCCGCCAGCCAGGGCUAUUUGAAUAUCGCCCCGAAAAUCCUUGUGAGUGGGUUGGUUCUCUUCGCUCUUCGACUACAAGGAAAGAUGGAUAAAGGAAUACUUUCGAUGACCUUCUUUCUGCCCUUUCUUUGUCUUUGCCCAUCGCGUCAUUAACACACCUUUUUAUUGCUGUCUUCUCUGGAGACCGCUACGUGGUAAAAGUUUUCCCUAAUAGCUUCCUAUGUAUAAGGAAGGGGCUGGUGGCUAAGCUUGCCCCAACUCUCAACGGGCAAUUUACAAACCGGUGAGAAACAUGGUCUGUAAGACACUUGGCUAGGAUUAGCCCAGACCUGCCGAUGCUCCUACGCAAGUCUGGUUGUGUCUCGGGUAGUUCGAGUAGUAGUUGUAGUUGUAAGGAGCCAGUAUAUCAAAUAUAUUCUCUUUAAUCCGGAGAAAAAAUACCCUUUGAUUGAAAGGCGGAAAAGAUCCUUGUUUGUUGCUAGCUUGUCUAGCUCUGCUGCUCGUGCUAGAUCCAUAACACUCACACCCGGCUACUCGCUCUGUUGCGGAUUUCGCUUCCGUGUCUUUUCGACUUAUUCUUUAGUUGAAGCUACUGAUGCCCUCACUUAACCCACCUUCACGCCCUUCCUUAUCUUUAGAAUGUAGUAUCUUCUAUUUAGAAUGUAGUUUCAUAAGCAUGCAUUGUUUCUUGCUUUGCUAUGAGUAAUAAGCAUUGUUUCUUGCUUUGUUUGCUAUGAGAGUGAAAGCUGCUCAGAAAGGUCUGUUUAGUGUGAGAGGCUAUUCCUUUUAGGUUCCUUCAUUGGCCUUGGUGCGGGUCACCCCAUUCUAAGGCGGAUCUCUGCUUCGACGCUCCUUCCUAUCAAACGGAAAAACGGACAUCUAAAUCUUAUUUACUGACAAAUCAAUCUGACUUGCCCCGGGCUAGCUCUUAGAUUCCUUCCUUUCGUUCUGUAGUUCUAGUUAUUUGAUAUGAGAAUGGAAUAUCAGCCCCACUAGACCGUAUAGAUAUCAGGCUUUGCAACCUAACUGUUAUUCCUUAGCUACUGAUACGGAUCUUUAUACUUGCUCUCCUUAGCUUCACUAUCUUGCUCUACUGCCUCCCAUGCUUACUACCUUUUCUCUAUCUUACUAUCCUGCCUAGAGCAUUCCUAUACUUAUUACUGAAGUGCCUGUUCUCUAAUUGAGUUUACUAGCAUAGUAGUUCAAACUGAAACCCCUUCCCAGCAAACUUCCUCCCCUAACUCCUAUUCUAGCUACCUUGUCUCUCGUUAUGUAACUACAGAUCCAGAUCCUUGCUGCCAGCUUUAACUGCAACUGACUAGAAUGGAUCUACUUCCCUUUCAUUCUUUUCGAAACACUCUGAUUCUAAUUUCUUGGAGUUUCUUUUCAUUAUCAUAGUGGUUAGGGGCGCCGUGCUCUUUUUUCUAGUAUCCCGGUAGUCUGUGUAAAGCCAAGUCCUGUAUUCGCCCUUCUUACCUUCUUACCACCGGCUCAUCCCCUUCCUUGCGUUUAAGGUCAGCUUCUAUAUCUCCUAAGUCACCUUCCGUUCUAGAAUAAGUAUCGGCAAAAGCGAAAUAAGCGCAUCGAAAGGAGUUCAAACUAAAAGAGCAAGGGAAAAUAGGAGGCGACCACUCUCUCUUGAUUCUUAAAGCAUGGGGAUUCAUUCAAGAACGGUUUGGAUUCUGGGGUUGUGCCCUGAAGUGAAGAGACUCAGCGAGCCGACCAAGUUAGAGGCUACAGAUAAAGUUGGUGAGCCGGGUGAUGGGAAACCUUCCUGCACGGAGAGCACUGAAGACGAAUGAGAGCUGAGAACGAAAUUAGUGCUUUAAGUCUAAAGCCAUGGACUACGCUCUCGUGUGAAGAAAGACAUGUACCAAUUCGUAGCUCAUCAUCAAUCUCAAUGACCAGAACAGAACUAGAUGAUGCGGUCUUUCCUCUAAGACGUUAACAGUAAUAUGCAGAGCGUUGUCAACAUGUUCUAUUUCACUCACUCCAUCCAUGAUGGCUUUUCCCCUUUUCCAUACUAUAAGCUUCCCGUCUGCUAAGAAAACCAGAAUACGAGUUUGGUAGUGUUGAGACCGAAGAAUCCAUUACAGAGUGACCUUGCUUGUCCAGAGGAAGAAACACUCGCAUCUAUAUCACCGAAUUAAUAUUAUUGUUCUUUCUUUGAUAAGAAUCGAUCCUACGUUUGUCUUGGCUGGAAGAGAUUUUGGAGGUGGUGGCAGGCCCCAAGGUUGAAGAUCAGAUCUACUUUCCUUCUGAGGAUCUACUAGUGGUUCCCGAGAAAAGGAAAAUGACACUGAUUUCGGGUUUUUCUAUUGGAUUGAUUUUUCUAAGAAUAAAAGGUGUGUGUGUCAGGCAGAAAAGAGAAAGUCACCUCUAAGGCUUUCCAGACCAGGCAGAAAAGAGAAAGUCACCUCUAAGGCUUUCCAGACCCUGUAUAAAUAGAUUAGCUAUCCAAGUCCACAUACGCAGGCAGUAGAAAUAAGUAGAUUAGCUAUCCAAGUCCACAUACCCAAUAUUGAACAUGCAUUUCCGAAACUUCCAACAAUCAAUCCACUCUAAUUCAAGCAUCAUGUGACCAUGGGAUAAGUUCCUUUCGAAGGAAGACAGACCUUUGACUGGCGAUUGAAUGAGUUGGUUUGCUAACGGGGGAGAAUUCUAGUUGCGCAAGGCUGGACUACUUUCGACAACAUUUUCAAUCAGAAAGAAGGAUUUCCAUAAAGGCCAAGGAUACAAUUUAGUAGACCUCGGAUGUAAGCACCUUAUGUUAUGGGUGGGGUUUAGGAGGAGCACCUUAUGUUAUGGGUGGGGUUUUGGAGGAAAGAAGGAGAAUCUGAAGUUGUUGUCUUCCCUACACAGGGAGCAGAGAGCCCAUUCGUUGACCUUCGGAUAAGACAUAUAUAGGCGGACUUCCCUUAGUAUAUAUCAAGGAAGAAAAGAAGGAGUUAGUUCAGUACCAAAAGCCGGAGGUGUUACCAACACAGGGAAGGGAGUGGAUAGCCUAUUCGGAGGCCGGCAGGGAAGAGAUAGCCUACUUCCGCUAUUCCAGCAAAGAAAAGAAAAUAGUAAUGCCACUAUUAAUAGAAUGGAAAAAGAAUAUAAAAAACACUAUUAAUAGAAAUAAGGAACUAUACACUGCUGACUUAUAAUAUCUAUUGCUUGUUUACUUGACUGAUGACUUAUAAUAUCCAUUGCUUGUUUACUUGUUGAAACCUCACAGCUAGUUCUUUCGCACCCCGCUACAACAAAACAAUACAAUGUUAGCGCAAGGCAGGCAAGGGUGGGUGUUAGUGAGCUUUAGAAGAGUCAGCUGUUAGGUUCAUUUCUUAUAGAUUGAUUCAGUUAAUAGUAGUUUGAAAUGAUCUUCUUUCUAGUGUUGUUACGGGACUCCUAACGCACAAGAGUUAGCGGCUAAAUCAACUCGCUUGUUACAUUGAGUGCAAAAGAAUAGAACUGAGCGUGAUACAUAUAGAGAUAGGUGUGAUUCAAAAUACCGAAACUCUCACUUAAGCUUACAACGGCUUGAGGAUUGUUCCCUGCAACAACUAAUUGAUGAAAGGUAGGUAAAAAAGAAGAAAAGCGCACAGAAGCACGUUGUAACGACAAGAAAUCUUGACCAGCCCUUUGCCAGAGCUCAGUAAGCACUUAGGUUGUUUUCACCAGUGGUUUAUUGGAGGUUUCAGAAUCAAGUAAAGGGUAGCUGAACAGAAGAAUCUGAUAGGUAGCCGAGACGAAGAAAGGACUUG
rnacentral:lncRNA from 1 species